AAUGAACGUUGGCGGCGUGGAUUAGGCAUGCAAGUCGAGCGAGAACCGUAGCAAUACGGGGACAGCGGCGAAAGGGACAGUAAUGUGUAGAUGAUCUACCCUCGGGAUCGGGAUAGCUGCGGGAAACUGCAGGUAAUACCGAAUAACAUCUCCGGAUCAAAGGUGUGAUUCCGCCCGUGGAUGAGUCUACAUCCUAUUAGCUAGUUGGCGAGGUAACGGCUCACCAAGGCAAUGAUGGGUAGCGGGUGUGAGAGCACGACCCGCGUCACUGGGACUGAGACACUGCCCAGACACCUACGGGUGGCUGCAGUCGAGAAUCUUCGGCAAUGGACGCAAGUCUGACCGAGCGACGCCGCGUGCGGGAUGAAGGCCCUCGGGUUGUAAACCGCUGUCGGAGGGGAUGAAAUCGUAGUGGGUUCUCCCACUAUGUUGACAUAUCCUCAAAGGAAGUGUGGGCUAAGUUCGUGCCAGCCGCCGCAGUAAUAC
rnacentral:rRNA from 1 species